UACAGAGGGGGCAAGCGUUGUUCGGAAUUACUGGGCGUAAAGGGCGCGUAGGCGGCCUUCUAAGUCGAACGUGAAAUCCCUGGGCUCAACCCAGGAACUGCGUCCGAUACUGGAAGGCUUGAAUCCGGGAGAGGGAUGCGGAAUUCCAGGUGUAGCGGUGAAAUGCGUAGAUAUUGGAAAGAACACCGAUGGCGAAGGCACUCUACUGGGCUAUUACUGACACUCAGAGACGAAAGCUAGGGGAGCAAAUGGG
rnacentral:rRNA from 1 species